AGAAGGAAGCACAGAUCCAGAUUCCUGAAUUCAGAAAGACAAGGCUGGAUCCAGAGCUGUAACUUACUGUUGUAUCUGGGACAACUCAAUCUCCAGGGAAGAAAAGAUAACAUUGUGUUGGAAAGGUGCAUCCUCUGUGUGCAAGGACCUUUAUCCAAGGUAUCAAGGAGGUACAGGAAAAUAGAGAAGAAACAGUCCUUUGCUCUGUACCUCAAGGCAAACAAUCUAGUUGGAAGUGAGGAGGUAUUCUAAGGCCCGUGCAACCCAGAGGGUUGGACUGUAUCACUUACCGCAAGCAAGGCAGGCAGUCUAAGUUCUCAAUUCGUUGGAUCUCGUUCUAUAAUAAGAAACAUGAAGGUGAGAAAUAAAAAAACAAAACAAAACCUAGAAUAAUUUUCUCCUCUCCUCUAAUUCAAAUAUCUGGAGGAAAUCUUGCAACUCUGG